rnacentral:tRNA from 1 species
GCCUGGGUAGCUCAGUGGGUUAAGCACCUGACUUCAGUUCAGGCUGUGAUCUCAUGGUUCAUGGGUUCGAUCCCCACGUAGGGCU